rnacentral:tRNA from 4 species
GCCCGAGUGGUGAAACUGGUAGACACAAGGGACUUAAAAUCCCUCGACUUAACCGUCGUGCCGGUUCGAUUCCGGCCUCGGGCA